AAGGUCUUGUUAAGGAACCCAGCCUGGUCUCCAACUCUGAUACCUGAACCUGAGCCAGAAGGCUGGGGCUGUUGGAAAGUGCCACCAUGCCCUGAUAGUCACAAUUACCAGUCACUCAUAAAAAAUGUAUGAAAAUGUGGCAGUUGGCUCUAGGCACAGGAUCUACUGCACCACUGAAAUAUAAACAGAAAAAGUUCCCAGGCAUCCCCACAAAAAAAUACAACAUGAUCCCACAGCCUCCCACGUGCCUUGGGAUCACUACCUCCAAGUCCUGUCCCUCCCUUCCUUCUCACUCCAUGUCCAGGAUAACCAAUCUUUCUUAAUCAUCAGCAGCAGAGAGUCCUUAAGUCUUUCCUUCAAAAGGAAUGAUAAGCCUGCAGUUUGGCAUGUUACCACUAGAGGCCUCCCUUGAGGCAAGAUCACUAAGCUAGGUUGGAGUACUAGUCACCCACCCAACAAACGACUAGCUUUGAUUAGGAAUGACAAGAAAACUGUCUGAGCAUGCUCAGCAGAGAUGUAUUUUCA
rnacentral:lncRNA from 1 species